rnacentral:rRNA from 1 species
GAUGAACGCUGGUGGCGUGCCUAAUACAUGCAAGUCGAGCGAACAGACGAGGAGCUUGCUCCUCUGAUGUUAGCGGCGGACGGGUGAGUAACACGUGGAUAACCUACCUAUAAGACUGGGAUAACUUCGGGAAACCGGAGCUAAUACCGGAUAACAUGUUGAACCGCAUGGUUCAACAGUGAAAGACGGUCUUGCUGUCACUUAUAGAUGGAUCCGCGCCGCAUUAGCUAGUUGGUAAGGUAACGGCUUACCAAGGCAACGAUGCGUAGCCGACCUGAGAGGGUGAUCGGCCACACUGGAACUGAGACACGGUCCAGACUCCUACGGGAGGCAGCAGUAGGGAAUCUUCCGCAAUGGGCGAAAGCCUGACGGAGCAACGCCGCGUGAGUGAAGAAGGUCUUCGGAUCGUAAAACUCUGUUAUUAGGGAAGAACAAAUGUGUAAGUAACUAUGCACGUCUUGACGGUACCUAAUCAGAAAGCCACGGCUAACUACGUG